ensembl:lncRNA
AGAGGAGCCUGGCGGGCCGCAGUCCAUAGGGUUGCAAGGAGUCGGACAUGACUGAGUGACUUAGCAUGCAUGCAUGCAUUUUUGUGUGGAAUCUGAUAGCGCCAAACUCGUAGAAGCAAAGAGUAGAAUGGUGGUUUUCAGAGGCUCAGGCAGAGAGAAGAGAAAGUGAGUAUGAGGAAUCAGCUCACUAGAUUAUGGAGGCUGAAAAGUCCCAUGAUCUGCCAUCUGCAAACUGGAGGCCUAGGAAAGGGAAACUGAGUCUGAAUCCAAAGGCCCGAGAGCCGGGGGAAUUGAUGAUGUAAAUUCCAGUUCAAGGGUCAGAGAAGAUGAGGUGAGAUGUCUCAGCACAAUCACUGAGGCAGGAAAAAAGGGGAGGGGGGAGGCAAAUUCCUCUUAACUCUGGCUUUUAUUCUAAAAGAGAAAUAUCUAAAACUCAAUAGCAUAUAUGUAAAUUAAUAAUACUAAACAUUUCUCAAAUGUAAAUAUACGCAUGUAUGAAGGAUUAGAAAGUAGUUUACACAGUGGGUGUUCGUGUGGAGCAGAGGAGAACAGAAGUAUGAGUGAAAAGUGAAAAAUUAAGUCACCCAGUUGUCUCCAGUUCUUUGCGACCUCAUGGACUGUGGCCUGCCAGGCUCCUCUAUUCAUGGAAUUCUCCAGGCAAGAAUACUGUAGUGUGUAGCCAUUCUGUUCUCCAGGGGAUUACCAAAGAACUAACGCUUCUGAAUUGUGUGCUGGAGGAUUCUUGAGAGUCCCUUGACAGCAAGGAGAUCAAACAAGUCAAUCCUAAAGGAAAUCAACCCUGAAUAUUCAUUGGUAGGACUGAUGCUGAAGCUGAAGCCCCAAUACUUUGGCCACCUAAUUCAAAGAGCUGACUCGUUGGAAAAGAUCCUGAGGCUGGAAGAGAUUGAGGGCAAGAGGAGAAGGGGGCGGCAGAGGAUGAGAUGGUUAGAUAGCAUCACUGACUCAAUGGGCAUGAGUUUGAACAAACUCCAGGAGAUAGUGAAGGACAGGGAAGUCUGGUGUGCUGCAGUUCUUGGGGUCACAAACAGUUGGACAUCACUUAGACAAUGAACAGCAACAACUGGAGUGUUGUUGAGGGAUUAAACCCAGGUCUCCUGCACCGCAGGUAGAUUCUUUACCAUCUGAGCUACCAGGGAAGCCCCAGUGUGAAUAAAGAUAAAAAAUAAAAGGAGAGAGGAGACUUGAAAAGACUAAUGAUGACAGUCUGCUAUGAGCAUGAAAAAACAGAUUUUAGAGU